UUUGACGGAGAGUUUGAUCCUGGCUCAGGACGAACGCUGGCGGCGUGCUUAACACAUGCAAGUCGAAC
rnacentral:rRNA from 1 species